rnacentral:lncRNA from 13 species
AACAGAUAACACACAGGGUGGAUGGUCAGCAGGUGAGGUGCCAAACACACUGGCAAUGAGAAGGUAGUGGGAAGUCUCUGGAGCCAUCUCCUCUUUGCAGAACACUGGUUGGCCCUGCUGUGAUGGUGGUUCUUGUUAAAAGCAACAAAGGGAGUGAAAUCUACAGUGGUAGCCGACUGCUCUGAUCUCUUUGAUUUGUCAGAUAACCCUCUACUACUUCACAAAAACUCACAAAUCGCAACCCUCUGACACCCACUUCAACAG